GUUUUUCAUAAAGCGCCUGAACUACCCUGAGUGUGGGUUAGUUGACGAGGAGGAGGUUUAUCGAAACUUCGGCGGAUACCUCCCGGUUAUAGUGCACAACCGAAAGUUCUUCUUAAAACACCAAGGUGACUUGGUCGACAAAGUGAAGAAAAUGCACCUA
rnacentral:ncRNA from 2 species